rnacentral:rRNA from 1 species
UUGCUGGAGGUAUCAGAAGUGCGAAUGCUGACAUAAGUAACGAUAAAGCGGGUGAAAAGCCCGCUCGCCGGAAGACCAAGGGUUCCUGUCCAACGUUAAUCGGGGCAGGGUGAGUCGACCCCUAAGGCGAGGCCGAAAGGCGUAGUCGAUGGGAAACGGGUUAAUAUUCCCGUACUUGGUGUUACUGCGAAGGGGGGACGGAGAAGGCUAUGUUGGCCGGGCGACGGUUGUCCCGGUUUAAGCGUGUAGGUGUGUGUUCCAGGUAAAUCCGGUUCACUUUAACACUGAGGCGUGAUGACGAGGCACUACGGUGCUGAAGCAACAAAUGCCCUGCUUCCAGGAAAAGCCUCUAAGCAUCAGGUAACAUCAAAUCGUACCCCAAACCGACACAGGUGGUCAGGUAGAGAAUACCAAGGCGCUUGAGAGAACUCGGGUGAAGGAACUAGGCAAAAUGGUGCCGUAACUUCGGGAGAAGGCACGCUGACACGUAGGUGAAGUGAUUUACUCAUGGAGCUGAAGUCAGUCGAAGAUACCAGCUGGCUGCAACUGUUUAUUAAAAACACAGCACUGUGCAAACACGAAAGUGGACGUAUACGGUGUGACGCCUGCCCGGUGCCGGAAGGUUAAUUGAUGGGGUCAGCGCAAGCGAAGCUCCUGAUCGAAGCCCCGGUAAACGGCGGCCGUAACUAUAACGGUCCUAAGGUAGCGAAAUUCCUUGUCGGGUAAGUUCCGACCUGCACGAAUGGCGUAAUGAUGGCCAGGCUGUCUCCACCCGAGACUCAGUGAAAUUGAACUCGCUGUGAAGAUGCAGUGUACCCGCGGCAAGACGGAAAGACCCCGUGAACCUUUACUAUAGCUUGACACUGAACAUUGAGCCUUGAUGUGUAGGAUAGGUGGGAGGCUUUGAAGUGUGGACGCCAGUCUGCAUGGAGCCGGCCUUGAAAUACCACCCUUUAAUGUUUGAUGUUCUAACGUGGACCCGUGAUCCGGGUUGCGGACAGUGUCUGGUGGGUAGUUUGACUGGGGCGGUCUCCUCCUAAAGAGUAACGGAGGAGCACGAAGGUUGGCUAAUCCUGGUCGGACAUCAGGAGGUUAGUGCAAUGGCAUAAGCCAGCUUGACUGCGAGCGUGACGGCGCGAGCAGGUGCGAAAGCAGGUCAUAGUGAUCCGGUGGUUCUGAAUGGAAGGGCCAUCGCUCAACGGAUAAAAGGUACUCCGGGGAUAACAGGCUGAUACCGCCCAAGAGUUCAUAUCGACGGCGGUGUUUGGCACCUCGAUGUCGGCUCAUCACAUCCUGGGGCUGAAGUAGGUCCCAAGGGUAUGGCUGUUCGCCAUUUAAAGUGGUACGCGAGCUGGGUUUAGAACGUCGUGAGACAGUUCGGUCCCUAUCUGCCGUGGGCGCUGGAGAACUGAGGGGGGCUGCUCCUAGUACGAGAGGACCGGAGUGGACGCAUCACUGGUGUUCGGGUUGUCAUGCCAAUGGCACUGCCCGGUAGCUAAAUGCGGAAGAGAUAAGUGCUGAAAGCAUCUAAGCACGAAACUUGCCCCGAGAUGAGUUCUCCCUGAGACUUUAGGUCUCCUGAAGGAACGUUGAAGACGACGACGUUGAUAGGCCGGGUGUGUAAGCGCAGCGAUGCGUUGAGCUAACCGGUACUAAUGAACCGUGAGGCUUAACCUUACA